UUGAUCCUGGCUCAGAAUCAACGCUGGCGGCGUGCCUAACACAUGCAAGUCGAACGAGAAAGUGGAGCAAUCCAUGAGUAAAGUGGCGACCGGGUGAGUUACACGUGACUAACCUACCCUCGAGUGGGGAAUAACCACGGGAAACCGUGUCUAAUACCGCAUAACAUCAUCGGAACGCAGGUUCUGAUGCUCAAAGGAGUAAUUCGCUUGAGGAGGGAGUCGCGGCUGAUUAGCUAGUUGGCGGGGUAAUGGCCCACCAAGGCUUAGAUCGGUAGCCGGCCUGAGAGGGCGCACGGCCAUACUGGAACUGAAACACGGUCCAGACUCCUACGGGAGGCAGCAGUGGGGAUUUUUGCGCAAUGGGGGAAACCCUGACGCAGCAACGCCGCGUGGAGGAUGUAGUCCCUUGGGAUGUAAACUCCUUUCGACCGGGAAGAUGAUGACGGUACUGGUAGAAGAAGCACCGGCUAACUCUGUGCCAGCAGCCGCGGUAAUAAGGU
rnacentral:rRNA from 1 species